rnacentral:tRNA from 1 species
GGGGAUUUAGCUCAGUGGUAGAGCGCUUGCCUGGCAAGUGCAAGUCCCUG